rnacentral:tRNA from 2 species
GGAGAGGUGUCCGAGUGGCUGAAGGAGCGCGCUUGGAAAGCGCGUGUACGGGUAACCGUACCGGGGGUUCGAAUCCCCCUCUCUCCG